rnacentral:rRNA from 1 species
CUAACAUAUGUGCGAGUGUGAUUAUGUGGAUUGUGAGGAGUUUAAUCCCCCUCAUGUUUUACGUAUUCGUGCUCUUGGGUGUACUUGCCCGUGUGGUAGGUUAACAUCAAUUUUGGUCGUCAUAAAAUGACUGGAGGAAUGUAGCUUUGGUCUCGUAUCGAAGUGUUAUAGACUCUGGUAGAUGUGACGAUUGGGAUUGAGGAUUGCAACGGAUACCCCCUGGGGGCCUACCCGGUCUGAUCUCUGAAGGUUGCUCCGGUGCCGAAAGCGUGCUUAUGGUCAUCGAAAGUGAUUUUCAAAAGGUUAGAACGGGUUAAAUUC